AGAGGAGUGACGCAAAGGACUUUUUAUGAAAAGAAAGAAAUGGUAGUCAUGAACCAGUAAGGUAAAAGGAGAAAACCGGUUUGGAAAAGGGACGCCCUCGCGACUUUGAAAACCACCUCUUUAGCCAGUUUGUAAAUCCCUUAAGGAAACAGCACUGAAGAGAAUUGGAAUGCAAUCACUUAUGUCUUAUGUCUUUUUCCUUCUGGAGUUGUCCUGCGGGGCGUGGGGGCAGGGGGUGAGUCUUUGUCACCGUGUACCCAGGUCAGAUGGAGACAGGUAAAGGAAAUGCUAAUCUACCCUCCUAAUCCGUUUUCAGUCUGUGAUGCCCUUCACUAUAAACAUUUCUUGUGAGCCCUCUCCCACUAAUCUUGUGUCUUGGUUUGCUCAGGAAUAAAUAACGUUAACCCACAGACUAGGAAAAUCUGGAGCUGGGAUGCUGUGUCAUCAUUUUCCCAGUUGGUAAAUCUGUCUAUUUUAAUUCAGAAAGAAUGUUAAACCCAAAAGUUCAGAGACCAAAAAGUUCAAGAAAGAGACCUUGUCCUCUUAAAGGGAAUCACAGCCCUUGUUCUGUGAAAACCAUAAGGACACCAUCCCAAGUUCUUAGCACAAAAGGAACACUUGGUCUAAAUAUUUGGCAACUUUAAAUAAUGCUCCUAUCAAGUACCUGUUUAUCAGGAUUAGGCAUAUUUAUUCUUUGGCUUAGCUACUACAGUUACCAAAGUCUGUGUUACUAAUUGUCUAAGAGGUUGGACUCCUGAAAAC
rnacentral:lncRNA from 1 species